rnacentral:rRNA from 1 species
UACGUAGGGCGCAAGCGUUAUCCGGAAUUAUUGGGCGUAAAGAGCUCGUAGGCGGUUUGUCGCGUCUGCCGUGAAAGUCCGGGGCUCAACUCCGGAUCUGCGGUGGGUACGGGCAGACUAGAGUGAUGUAGGGGAGACUGGAAUUCCUGGUGUAGCGGUGAAAUGCGUAGAUAUUACAAGGAACACCAAUGGCGAAGGCAGCUUGCUGGGCUUCUUCUGACACUGGAGGUACGAAAGCGUGGGGAGCGAACAGG